GAUGAACGCUGGCGGCGUGCCUAAUACAUGCAAGUCGAGCGAACGGACGAGAAGCUUGCUUCUCUGAUGUUAGCGGCGGACGGGUGAGUAACACGUGGAUAACCUACCUAUAAGACUGGGAUAACUUCGGGAAACCGGAGCUAAUACCGGAUAAUAUUUUGAACCGCAUGGUUCAAAAGUGAAAGACGGUCUUGCUGUCACUUAUAGAUGGAUCCGCGCUGCAUUAGCUAGUUGGUAAGGUAACGGCUUACCAAGGCAACGAUGCAUAGCCGACCUGAGAGGGUGAUCGGCCACACUGGAACUGAGACACGGUCCAGACUCCUACGGGAGGCAGCAGUAGGGAAUCUUCCGCAAUGGGCGAAAGCCUGACGGAGCAACGCCGCGUGAGUGAUGAAGGUCUUCGGAUCGGAAAACUCUGUUAUUAGGGAAGAACAUAUGUGUAAGUAACUGUGCACAUCUUGACGGUACCUAAUCAGAAGGCCACGGCUAACUACG
rnacentral:rRNA from 1 species